rnacentral:rRNA from 1 species
GACGAACGCUGGCGGCGUGCUUAACACAUGCAAGUCGAACGAAGUGGCGAACGGGUGAGUAACGCGUAAUCAACCUGCCCUUCAGGGGGGGACAACAGUUGGAAACGACUGCUAAUACCGCAUACUGAAGGAGGGGAUUGCGUCUGAUUAGCUCGUUGGGGGGGUAACGGCCCACCUAGGCGAUGAUCAGUAGCCGGUCUGAGAGGAGGAACGGCCACAUUGGGACUGGGGCACGGCCCAGACUCCUACGGGAGGGAGCAGUGGGGAAACUUCGGCAAGGGACGAAAGGCUGACGGAGCAACGCCGGGGGAGUGAUGACGGCCUUCGGGUUGUAAAGCUCUGUUAAUCGGGGCGCGGUACCGGAAUAGAAAGCAACGGCUAACUACGUGCCAGCAGCCGCGGUAAUUC